UUUAGUAUCACAAAGACGACCCAUAUCUCAGUGCUCAGCUGAUUCUCUCUAUCAUUAGAUCUACGAGUCGAGGCAUACAAUGAAAAAUCUUGUACAGAUUUCUUAUGAAGAGGAAAUGAGUUCGAUAUUCUCGGUCGAUGGACGAAAUAAGAAUUACGUGAUACAACGAUUAGGUGGCGGAUUUUUUACGAAAAUCAAAGGAUAAAUUGCUAUAAAUUGCGCAAUUCCUUGAGGUAUAGUUGAGUGCAUGGAAAAUGUGGUCUUGAGUGGUUUCUUUGGGCAUCAGUAUUUGAGGAGGAAGUCACAAAGAAAGCUAGGCUAGUGGAAAAUUACACGUGAAUAAUCAAACUUUCAGAUUCGGGUAAUAAGGAAAAUGAUUUCAAAUUUAAAAAAUUCCACUUUGAACUUCUCGAUUAUUGACAACUCCAUUUGCAUACAGUCAAAGUUAUGGAAAUAAAAAAAACUCGUCAUGCAAGAGUUAAAAAGAGUGACUACUCCAAAAAUUCCCGCGGAACCGAUUGACUCCGGAAAUAUUUUCAAAAAAAUUGCAAUUAUUGUAAGCAAAAUGUUCGAGCCAACACCCAAUCACUCAAAAUCCUCGAAAAAUCCAAAAAUACCCAAUGAAACUGUCUAGUGUUCCCGCGCCAUGAAACAAUUAAAAAUAGAUUAUCAAAAUUGAUAGCCUUAUUGCAACGCUAUCACUCUCCCCGAUAACGACGAGUGCCUUGAGAUCUUCAAACCCGAAGAUAAAGUGCCACGAAAAAAAAAAGAAAGCUCCAUUGAAGUUCACCUGAAUAAAUAUAUGAAACAAACUCCAUAUGGACAAUUAACCAUAAAUGAACAAUAAAAAACCUAUUACACGGCAGAAUUAAUUGUCGCAGCCCUCAAUACCCCUGAAA